rnacentral:rRNA from 1 species
AUACGUAUGGGGCAAGCGUUAUCCGGAAUUAUUGGGCGUAAAGAGUGCGUAGGUGGUUACCUAAGCGCAAGGUUUAAUCUUGAGGCUCAACCUCAUUCUGCCUUGCGAACUGGGCUACUUGAGUGCAGGAGGGGAAAGCGGAAUUCCCAGUGUAGCGGUGAAAUGCGUAGAUAUUGGGAAGAACACCGGUGGCGAAGGCGGCUUUCUGGACUGUAACUGACACUGAGGCACGAAAGCGUGGGGAGCAAACAGGAUUAGAUACCCUGGUAGUCCACGCCGUAAACGAUGAGCACUAGUUGUUGGGUACGAAUGUAUUCAGUGACGCAGUUAACGCAAUAAGUGCUCCGCCUGGGGAGUACGGUGGCAACACUAGAACUCAAAUGAAUUGACGGGG